rnacentral:rRNA from 1 species
AUGAACGCUAGCUACAGGCUUAACACAUGCAAGUCGAGGGGCAGCAUGGUCUUAGCUUGCUAAGGCCGAUGGCGACCGGCGCACGGGUGAGUAACACGUAUCCAACCUGCCGUCUACUCUUGGACAGCCUUCUGAAAGGAAGAUUAAUACAAGAUGGCAUCAUGAGUCCGCAUGUUCACAUGAUUAAAGGUAUUCCGGUAGACGAUGGGGAUGCGUUCCAUUAGAUAGUAGGCGGGGUAACGGCCCACCUAGUCUUCGAUGGAUAGGGGUUCUGAGAGGAAGGUCCCCCACAUUGGAACUGAGACACGGUCCAAACUCCUACGGGAGGCAGCAGUGAGGAAUAUUGGUCAAUGGGCGAGAGCCUGAACCAGCCAAGUAGCGUGAAGGAUGACUGCCCUAUGGGUUGUAAACUUCUUUUAUAAAGGAAUAAAGUCGGGUAUGGAUACCCGUUUGCAUGUACUUUAUGAAUAAGGAUCGGCUAACUCCGUGCCAGCAGCCGCGGUAAUACGGAGGAUCCGAGCGUUAUCCGGAUUUAUUGGGUUUAAAGGGAGCGUAGAUGGAUGUUUAAGUCAGUUGUGAAAGUUUGCGGCUCAACCGUAAAAUUGCAGUUGAUACUGGAUAUCUUGAGUGCAGUUGAGGCAGGCGGAAUUCGUGGUGUAGCGGUGAAAUGCUUAGAUAUCACGAAGAACUCCGAUUGCGAAGGCAGCCUGCUAAGCUGCAACUGACAUUGAGGCUCGAAAGUGUGGGUAUCAAACAGGAUUAGAUACCCUGGUAGUCCACACGGUAAACGAUGAAUACUCGCUGUUUGCGAUAUACAGCAAGCGGCCAAGCGAAAGCGUUAAGUAUUCCACCUGGGGAGUACGCCGGCAACGGUGAAACUCAAAGGAAUUGACGGGGGCCCGCACAAGCGGAGGAACAUGUGGUUUAAUUCGAUGAUACGCGAGGAACCUUACCCGGGCUUAAAUUGCAGAUGAAUUACGGUGAAAGCCGUAAGCCGCAAGGCAUCUGUGAAGGUGCUGCAUGGUUGUCGUCAGCUCAUGCCGUGAGGUGUCGGCUUAAGUGCCAUAACGAGCGCAACCCUUGUUGUCAGUUACUAACAGGUUCCGCUGAGGACUCUGACAAGACUGCCAUCGUAAGAUGUGAGGAAGGUGGGGAUGACGUCAAAUCAGCACGGCCCUUACGUCCGGGGCUACACACGUGUUACAAUGGGGGGUACAGAGGGCCGCUACCACGCGAGUGGAUGCCAAUCCCCAAAACCUCUCUCAGUUCGGACUGGAGUCUGCAACCCGACUCCACGAAGCUGGAUUCGCUAGUAAUCGCGCAUCAGCCACGGCGCGGUGAAUACGUUCCCGGGCCUUGUACACACCGCCCGUCAAGCCAUGGGAGCCGGGGGUACCUGAAGUGCGUAACCGCGAGGAGCGCCCUAGGGUAAAACUGGUGACUGGGGCU